rnacentral:piRNA from 1 species
UGGCACCAAAUCCUCAAGGGGUUCAUUC